UCGGACGGGGUCAGUAACGCGUGAGAAUCUGGCUCUAGGUCUGGGACAACAGUUGGAAACGACUGCUAAUACCGGAUGUGCCGAAAGGUGAAAGGCUUGCUGCCUAGAGAUGAGCUCGCGUCUGAUUAGCUAGUAGGUGUGGUAAGAGCGCACCUAGGCGACGAUCAGUAGCUGGUCUGAGAGGAUGAUCAGCCACACUGGGACUGAGACACGGCCCAGACUCCUACGGGAGGCAGCAGUGGGGAAUUUUCCGCAAUGGGCGAAAGCCUGACGGAGCAAUACCGCGUGAGGGAGGAAGGCUCUUGGGUUGUAAACCUCUUUUCUCAAGGAAUAAGAAAGUGAAGGUACUUGAGGAAUCAGCAUCGGCUAACUCCGUGCCAGCAGCCGCGGUAAUACGGAGGAUGCAAGCGUUAUCCGGAAUGAUUGGGCGUAAAGCGUCCGCAGGUGGCAUUGUAAGUCUGCUGUUAAAGAGUGAGGCUUAACCUCAUAAAAGCAGUGGAAACUACAAAGCUAGAGUGCGUUCGGGGCAGAAGGAAUUCCUGGUGUAGCGGUGAAAUGCGUAGAGAUCAGGAAGAACACCGGUGGCGAAGGCGUUCUGCUAGGCCGCAACUGACACUACGGGACCAAAGA
rnacentral:rRNA from 1 species